CUGGACCUAAUCUUGGCGUUCGAUCUUACUGGAGCGCCCGCCCGAGAACUACGAGCAUAAAAGCUUAAAACUCUAAGGACUUGGCGGUGCUCCAAACCCGCCUAGAGGAGCCUGUUCUGUAAUCGAUGAUCCACGAUAUACCUCACCAUUUCUUGCUCAAUAACAGCCUAUAUACCGCCGUCGCCAGCCCACCCUCCCUGAUGGUUCAACAGUGGACGCAAUAGCCUUACCCCGCUAAUACGACAGGUCAAGGUAUAGCCUAUGGAAUGGGAGCAAUGGGCUACAUUUUCUAGAUUAGAACAUAACGGCAAAGGUGCAUGAAACUGCCCCUAGAAGGUGGAUUUAGCAGUAAAGUGGGAUCAGCGAGCCCUCUUUAAGCCGGCUCUGGAGCACGUACAUACCGCCCGUCACCCUCCUCAAAAGCGACCCCCCCCCCCCCUUUUUUU
rnacentral:rRNA from 1 species